GACGAACGCUGGCGGCGUGCUUAACACAUGCAAGUCGAACGAUGAAGCUGGAGCUUGCUCCGGUGGAUUAGUGGCGAACGGGUGAGUAACACGUGAGCAAUCUGCCAUUGACUCUGGGAUAACUGCGGGAAACUGUAGCUAAUCCCGGAUACGAGGCUCGAAGGCAUCUCCGGGUCUGGAAAGAAUUUCGGUCAAGGAUGAGCUCGCGGCCUAUCAGCUUGUUGGUGAGGUAAUGGCUCACCAAGGCGACGCCGGGUAGCCGGCCUGAGAGGGUGACCGGCCACACUGGGACUGAGACACGGCCCAGACUCCUACGGGAGGCAGCAGUGGGGAAUAUUGCACAAUGGGCGAAAGCCUGAUGCAGCAACGCCGCGUGAGGGAUGAAGGCCUUCGGGUUGUAAACCUCUUUUAGCAGGGAAGAAGCGAAAGUGACGGUACCUGCAGAAAAAGCACCGGCUAACUACGUGCCAGCAGCCGCGGUAA
rnacentral:rRNA from 1 species